GACGUAGGGGUCCAAGCGUUGUCCGGAUUUACUGGGCGUAAAGAGCGCGUAGGCGGCUCGUUAAGUGUGAAGUGAAAUCUCCAGGGCUCAACCCGGAAACUGCUUUACAUACUGGCGAGCUGGAGUGAUGCAGGAGGUUUGUGGAAUUCCUGGUGUAACGGUGAAAUGUGUUGAUAUCAGGAGGAACACCGGUGGCGAAGGCGGAUCUCUGGCCAUUACUGACGCUGAGGAGCGAAAGCGUGGGGAGCGAACAGG
rnacentral:rRNA from 1 species